UCACUAGGUUCGGCAGUUUCCAUAAAGAUGAUUCUUGCUGUGUUCAUUUCAAUUUUCCAUUGAAGAAGAUGAAUUCUACCAUACUCAAUAAAGCUGCAAGAAAUUAUAUUUAAAGCUUGAAACUAGUUAAUAAUUAACUUAAUUUACAUACCAUCACCAGAAUCACAACAAAAUCAUCUUGCACAUGACAUAACAUACAAUGUCAUGGUGACGAAAAAACAAUGAAGACCCGAUUUCAUUUCCUAAUUACUAAUUCGAUCUAAGCAAGCUUUUUGUUUGUGCAAUACGUUUUCUCACUGAGGUUUAUACUUUGAAGAUUGAAGCAAGUAUAAAUCCCAUCACCAUUCAAUAUGCAGCGAGCGGCAUUCACGUCCAAGAUUCCCACCGGGUCGUUAGUCCCAAAACGCUCUUUGGCCAACCGGGAACCCGGAGUGCAUGGAGAAUCGAAUGGAAAACGCUCCGUCAUCAAGCCAAUUUUAAAGCCAAACCAGAUGCAGCAGUGGAACGAGCGAAUGAUUGAAGAUGAAACGCCUCCACCUCUGGUUCCCAGUGAAGUAAUUCUCGUUGAUGAUGACGAGGAUUUGUUCGACUGGGAGCCAUUGGAUGCAACGGAGAUGGAGAUGGCGGUGUUCCAGAGAAUGAAGUUUGAGAGAGAUCUUCGGAAGGCGCAAGCAGAGAAUAUCAAACUGCGGCAGGAAAAUCAACGACUGAAAGCAACAAAAGGGGUAAGUUUUCUCAAUCGUUGUCGUUUUGAAUCCUUACUAUUAAUGAUAGGCGAGAUAGCGGAAUCAAUUUUAUGUUAUGGUUUUUGGUUAUUGUUGUGAGUUGUUAUUGUAGUCUUUAUUUUUGUUCGUUUGUUGCAUUCAGUUUUAAUAUAUUUCUGUAUUUUGUUGUGGUUUUUUAUUCAGAUUUCUGUAUUGUGGUUUUAGAUUUUUCCUUUGUUGAUUUUGAUUGAUUAGUUGUAGUGAUGUUUUUUUUUGUAGCCUCUGCUUUUAUUAUGUUUUUUACUUAGAGUUCUACAUUGUGGUUUUAGUUGAUUUAUUUUCGUUUUUGUUUUCAUUGUAGGUUUUUUUUAUUAUUUGUUCUGUUAUCGUUUUCUGUGUAUUGUUGAACUUUACAUUAUUUAAUGUUGCGAUGUUUGAUGCCAUUUUUUAUAUAUUUCAUGGUAUAUUUACAAUAACCCGUUUGAUGAUAAUAAUUUUCUUGAAUCAUGCUUUAUACUAUAUUUGAUUGUUUUGUUUUUCUGUUGAUAACUUUAUUAAUAUAUUUUUUCUUGCGUUUUUUUGAGUAUUUGCGAGCCUCCAAGGCGAAUCUCCUGUCCAUAGUUGGACCUACUGGAUUCCCUAUAGUACUGAUGAAAUAUGUCAUGAGAUACCAAAACGAAGCAGUUACUGAAGCAGAUCAUGCAAGCGAAUCCAUGAGAGCAGAGAGCAUUUCCGGAGA